GACGAACGCUGGCGGCGUGCUUAACACAUGCAAGUCGAACGAUGAACUUGGAGCUUGCUCUGGGGGAUUAGUGGCGAACGGGUGAGUAACACGUGAGUAACCUGCCCUGGACUCUGGGAUAACUUCGAGAAAUCGGAGCCAAUACCGGAUAGGACCUUGCACCGCAUGGUGUGGGGUGGAAAGUUUUUCGGUUUGGGAUGGACUCGCGGCCUAUCAGCUUGUUGGUGAGGUAAUGGCUCACCAAGGCGUCGACGGGUAGCCGGCCUGAGAGGGUGACCGGCCACACUGGGACUGAGACACGGCCCAGACUCCUACGGGAGGCAGCAGUGGGGAAUAUUGCACAAUGGGCGCAAGCCUGAUGCAGCAACGCCGCGUGCGGGAUGACGGCCUUCGGGUUGUAAACCGCUUUUAGUAGGGAAGAAGCCUUCGGGUGACGGUACCUGCAGAAAAAGGACCGGCUAACUACGUGCCAGCCGCCGCCGUAAUAC
rnacentral:rRNA from 1 species